AAGGGUCCGCAAAAUGAAAAUUUCGACAGAAAUAUCAUUUAUAUAUUUUGUAAUACCCCAAAAAAUCCAAAUUAUUUUCCGAGGACAUUUUAGAAUGAUUUCGUAGUCAUGGGUGAUUGUACGAAGCUUGGAGAAGUGUAGAAUUAGUUCGAACGAUUAUAUUUCGAAAACGUACGUUAAUUAAGGGCACGCGAAAUCGACUUUUUAUACGUACAAAAUUUGGGAAAACUUCCUUCAUGAAAGUUGUAGAGCUCGUCAAUACAAUCGCGUGCAUAUGCGGAACGCAAAAAUCGGAGUUCGUAUGAAUUAGUUAUGAUUUUUCGAAAAAGUUUCCAAUUUUAUAUAAAGCUUCCAUUUUCGGAAACUUCCAAAAUUAUUUUCAUUUCUUUCCCUUCUGGGAAACCAUCGUCCCUUUCUCUCUCUUCCUCCCGCGUUCAAGACCGACGGAACUGGACGAAUUUCGUCCGGUCAGUUCUUCCUUCUCCGGCCACCAAUCCUCACCAAACUUCUUCCAUUGGCUUCGUAUGGUCCUUGCGCACCCGUAUGUGGUGGCCUUGCACGGCGGUGGUGAGCUUGUUUCGAUUUGAGUUCGAUUUUAGUCAACGUCUGUUUUCUCCUAGCUCCGGCCACUAAAACUUCAGAUCCUUAGCUCCAUGAACUCGCCUCAACUUGCGGAUCAUCAUACUAGAAGGAUCGCACCUGGAGUGACCGAUUUCACGUUCGUCGGAGCUCGGUCGGUUUUUGAUCCGAAACCAAAAUCUUUCGAUCGGGAUAUCUCGAGCUGUAGUGCAUCGUUUUGAUUGAUUCUUAAUCCAGUGGGUUCGUCUUGAUGUUCUUAACAACUCUCUAGAAGUAAUCGAAGCCUGAAAUUGAAGUUUUUACGUCGAAAUCAUGGCUCGCCUGUUUCUGCAUUUUCUCGCCGGUUUUUGGAAAUUUUCCGGCCACCUUCAUACUGUUCAAGGUGAUUGACGGUCUUCCUUGGUGAGCGGUUUUGGUGUGUUUUGUGAAAUUGAAGACGCAGCGGGAUUAGAGGCUGAUGGAGAAGGAGAGACGUGAGGAGCUCUCAGAUGAGUGAAGCCUCAGCUCUGGCUAUAGGUACUCAACUGAAUUUGCAGAAUCAACUAAUCAAGGCCUCAUUUGGGUGAACUGUGAACUAUGAAUUAUUGACUUAAAAAUUGUAUGAACUAUGGAGUGAUGAAGGGAGUUGAUGUAUGAGUGAAUAAGUGAUGAACUCAAGUAGUGAAGUUGAUGUAUGAGAGUUUUUAGUUUAUUUUUCAUUUCCAGGUUGGCCCUUCAAAUUGAU